UACAGAGGGGGCAAGCGUUAUUCGGAAUUAUUGGGCGUAAAGGGCGCGUAGGCGGCCUGGCAAGUGGAAGGUGAAAUCCCUCGGCUUAACCGAGGAACUGCCCUCCAAACUGCUUGGCUUGAGUCCGGGAGAGGUGAGUGGAAUUCCCAGUGUAGCGGUGAAAUGCGUAGAUAUCGGGAGGAACGCCAGUGGCGAAGGCGGCGACCUGGACGGACACUGACGCUGAGACGCGAAAGCGUGGGGAGCAAACAGG
rnacentral:rRNA from 1 species